rnacentral:rRNA from 1 species
AAGAAUGACCCGCGAAUCGUCAAUGCGUACUAGACAGAGCCCAAGAGCACCUAACGCUCAUGGGGCUCGCGUCGUGUCGGCGCGGGUGUCGUCGAGACCCGCUUCGUACCGGCGGACAAACAAUGUCAGCACGGAUCGUGCCAAGGAGCUUUAUUGAGAGGAUCGUCGUCCCACGCCCUUGAUAGUCCUCGAUGCGGGACGGGGGGCGGGGGAUGUACGCAGUCUCUACCCAAAGUCUAAACGACUCUCGGCAACGGAUAUCUCGGCUCUUGCAUCGAUGAAGAACGUAGCGAAAUGCGAUACUUGGUGUGAAUUGCAGAAUCCCGCGAACCAUCAAUUCUUUGAACGCAAGUUGCGCCCGAAGCCUUACGGCCGAGGGCACGCCUGCCUGGGUGUCGUGAAUCCCCUUGCCCCUGGGCACCCGCAUGAGCAUUGGCGGGUAUUAUGCUCGGGCGCAGAAUGUGGUCUCCCGUUGGACCGGCAUGCACGGCAUGUCGAGGUGCGGUUGGCCGAAAAUCGAGCAUGGCGGUGACGGGCACCACGGCGUUCGGUGGAUCGAAUGAGAUUGGCUGCGCCGUGGGCUCGGCAUGCCGGCGGGCUUCCGGACUUUGAAUAUCCCGAGUGCGAUCCNAGUCAAGCGGGGCUACCCGCUGAGUUUAAG